AAGCUAGAACCAGUCAUGCCGCGUGCAGGAUGAAGGCCCUACGGGUCGUAAACUGCUUUUAUUCGGGAAGAAAAAGUCUGUUUCUACAGACCUUGACGGUACCGAUUGAAUAAGGACCGGCCAACUCCGUGCCAGCAGCCGCGGUAAUACGGAGGGUCCAAGCGUUAUCCGGAUUCACUGGGUUUAAAGGGUGCGCAGGCGGCUAAGUAAGUCAGUGGUGAAAGCCUUCGGCUCAACCGGAGAAUUGCCAUUGAAACUACUUAGCUUGAGUGCAGUAGAGGUAGGCGGAAUGUAGCAUGUAGCGGUGAAAUGCAUAGAUAUGCUACAGAACACCGAUAGCGAAAGCAGUUUACCACACUGUAACUGACGCUGAGGCACGAAAGCAU
rnacentral:rRNA from 1 species